CUUCAUCUGACGGGAUGCGAUCAUAUCAGCACUAAUGCACCAAAUCCCAUUAGUACUCAGCCGUUACGUAUGCUUGGGCGAGAGCAAUACUAGGAUGGGUGACCCUUAAGGAAUUCCUCGUGUUGCACCCAUUUUUUGUCGAUUGUUUUUUUCAUAAUUUUUUUAGAAGAUUUCUCAUCAACAUUUGUUUACAGCCUUAUAGAUGUGAGCGAAUCAGCUAGAUUUGGCCCAGUGUAUUUCACCCCGGAGUUAAGUGUACCCGGUCGGGUGUAGUGCUAGGAUGGGUGACCUCUAGGGAAGUCCCCGUUUUCCACCCUUUUUUUGGUCGAUUUUUCUUCACACCUUUUUCUUUUUAGAAUAUUUUCAAUUCUCAUUUAUUUUUUAGUUUUACGGAUGCGGGCGACCUGAUUCGGCUCGGUAUGCUUCCCCCGUUGCGUUGCUGUAGGGAUGGGGUGAAUGAAUGAUAUCUCUAUAAAAACAUAAAUUCUGCAUCAUUUGACGGGUGCGAUCAUAACAGCACUAAUGCACCAGAUUCUAUCAGAACUCAACAGUUACGUGUGUUGGGCGUGAAUAGUACUAGGAUGGGUGACCCCUUGGGUCUUCUUGUUGCACCUUUUCUUGCCAAUUUUUUUUCAUGACUUUUCUUUUAGAAGAUUUUCCAUCCGCAUUUGUUUAUAGCCUUAUCGAUGCAAGCGAAGUGGCUGGAUUCGACUCGGUGUACUUUACCCCGGAGUUAAGCGUGCCAAGAUGGGUGACCCCUUGUGAAGUUCUCAUUUUUCAACCUUUUUUAAUAAUUUUUCUUCACACCUUUUUUUAAGAAUAUUUUUAUUCCCAUUUAUUUUUUAACUUUAUGGAUGUGGGCGAUGAAUCAGUUGGGUGUGGGACGUAUGUUUCACCCAUCGCGCUGCUGUGGGAGAUGAGAUGAAGGAAAGAUGUCUCUAUAAUAACAUAAAAUGUGCUUCAUCUGACGGGUGCGAUUAUACCAGCACUAUUGUAUCGAAUCCCAUCAUAACUCCGCAGUUUAGCGUGCUUGAGCGGGACCAGUAUUGGGAUGGCCAACCCCCUGGGAUGUUCUUGUGUUGCACCAUUUUUUGUCAAUUUUUCUUCAUGACAUUGCUUUUUAAAAUAUUUUCCAUCUGCCUUUGUUUACAUCCUUAUAGAUAUUUUUUUGCCCUUUUUUCUUCACAACCUUUUUUUAUAGAAGAUUUUCCAUUCGUUUUUCUUUACAUCCUUACUGAUGCAAGCGAAGCGGCUAGAUUUGGCCUGGUGUACUUCACCCUGGAGUUAAGUGUGGCCCGGUUGGGUGUAGUGCCAGGAUGGGUGACCCCUUGGAAUUGUCUCGUUUUUCACUUUCUUUUCCAAUUUUUUUUUCACACAUAGUUCAUUUUAGAAUAUUUUUCCUUCUCAUUUAAUUUUUAGCUUUAUGGAUGCCGGCGAUGAAUCGGUUGCGUUCAUCCUAGAGUGCUUCAACGCCCCGUGUGCUGUUGUGGGAAAAGGAGUAAAGGAAGGAUGUUUAUAUAAUAAUAUAAAAUGUGCUUCAUCUGACGGGAUGCGAUCAUAUCAGCACUAAUGCACCAAAUCCCAUUAGUACUCAGCCGUUAACGUAUGCUUGGGCGAGAGCAAUACUAGGAUGGGUGACCCUUUGAGAAUCCCUCGCGUUGCACCCCUUUUUUGCAGAUUUUGUUUAUGAUUUUCUUUUAGAUGAUUUUUCAUCCCCAUUUAUUUAAAGUCUUACGGAUGCGAGUGGAGCGGCUUAGUUCGGCCCGGUGUAUUUACCCCAGAUUUAAGCGUGCCCAGUCGGGUUGCAGUGAUAUGAUGGGUGACCCCUUGUGAAGUUCUCAUUUUUCAACCUUUUUUAAAUAAUUUUUCUUCACACCUUUUUCUUUUUAGAAUAUUUUCAAUUCUCAUUUAUUUUUUAGUUUUACGGAUGCGGGCGACCUGAUUCGGCUCGGUAUGCUUCCCCCGUUGCGUUGCUGUAGGGAUGGGGUGAAUGAAUGAUAUCUCUAUAAAAACAUAAAUUCUGCAUCAUUUGACGGGUGCGAUCAUAACAGCACUAAUGCACCAGAUUCUAUCAGAACUCAACAGUUACGUGUGUUUGGGCGUGAAUAGUACUAGGAUGGGUGACCCCUUGGGUCUUCUUGUUGCACCUUUUCUUGCCAAUUUUUUUUCAUGACUUUUCUUUUAGAAGAUUUUCCAUCCGCAUUUGUUUAUAGCCUUAUCGAUGCAAGCGAAGUGGCUGGAUUCGACUCGGUGUACUUUACCCCGGAGUUAAGCGUGCCAAGAUGGGUGACCCCUUGUGAAGUUCUCAUUUUUCAACCUUUUUUAAAUAAUUUUUCUUCACACCUUUUUUUAAGAAUAUUUUUAUUCCCAUUUAUUUUUUAACUUUACGGAUGCAAGCGAUGAAUCGGCUGAAUUUGACCCGGUGUGCUUCAUGCAUCGCGCUGCCGUGGAUGGGGUGAAGUAAGGAUGUCUCUUUAACAACAUAAAAUGUGCAUUAUCUGACGGGUGCGAUCAUACCAGUACUAAUGCUCUGGAUCCCAUCAGAACUCCGCCGUUAGGUGUACUUGGGUAGGAGCAGUAUUAGGAUGGGUGACCCUUUGAGAAUCCCUCGCGUUGCACCCCUUUUUUGCAGAUUUUGUUUAUGAUUUUCUUUUAGAUGAUUUUUCAUCCCCAUUUAUUUAAAGUCUUACGGAUGCGAGUGGAGCGGCUUAGUUCGGCCCGGUGUACUUUACCCCAGAUUUAAGCGUGCCCAGUCGGGUGCAGUGAUAUGAUGGGUGACCCCUUGGGAAGUCCUUGUUUUCUACCCUUUUUUAGCCAAUAUUUUUUUACACAUUUUUCUUUUUAGAAUAUUUUCUAUUCUUAUUUAUUUUUUAGUUUUACGGAUGCGGGCGAUAAAUCGACCCGGUUUGGCUCGGUGUGCUUCACCCGUCGCGUUGCUGUGGGGAUGGGGUGAAGGAAGGAUAUCUCUAUAAGAAUAUAAAAUGUGCAUCAUCUAACAGGUGCGAUCAUACCAGCACUAAUGCACCAGAUCCCAUCAGAACUCCGCAGUUAGGUGUGCUUGGGCGGGAGCAGUACUAGGAUGGGUGACCCAUAGAUCCUCGUUUUGUACCCUUUUUUUGUUAAUUUGUUUUCACCAAUUUUCUUUUAGAAGAUUUCUCAUCUGCAUUUGUUUACAGCCUUACGGAUGCGAGCGAAGCGGUUGGAUUCAGCCCGAUGUACUUUACCUUGAAAGGGAUUCAUUUAUUAGUGUUGAUCAUAAAUACUACUUUUUUAUUAUUUACUUAAAUAAUAAAAAUUUUUGACUAUAUUUCUUGGUACCUAUGUCACCCCUUGAUGAGAACCCGAGGCACUAGGUGUGCCAAAUCUAGUACGAGACCCAGAGGCCUACCGUUUACCGGGGGUACCUGAGUCACAGUGAGAAGGUGGAGUUUGGGACCCCUUUCGCUUUUGAGGAGUAGAAAUUAGGCAAGAAAAAUAAUCACGAAAAAAUAGCAAAGACAGACACACCAGUCCAGCAGAUGACUGAUCCAAGAACCACAAAAAACUUACUACCAAAUCAAAAAUUGUCUACCAAUUCCACAAGCCCUAACCUCAAGUCCUAGAUAUGUAAACUAUGAAAUUAAUGACACACUCACCCUUCAAACAAUGAUUGACCACCAGAAAUAAUGAUUAAUCAACCCACAACUAACCGAUUAAAAUAAAACCAAAAAAAUGGAACCUAGGUAAAAUAGAAACUCAGAACAGUUGAAAAAGGAAGAGAAAAUCAAAGAAAAAGAGGAUUAGCUAGAGAGAAUCGAAACAAACGAAGAAGACUGAAAGAGAUUAGUUCGCUGGAUCGAGGGAGAAACCGUAAGCCAAGUUCGCCAGAGGUCGCAGGUGCGUGAGGGGAGAGAAAGCGAUAGAGGGAAUAGGGCAAAAAAGAAUAGUCGCUAGGUGUUUAUACUCGCCCUGUAAGUUGACUUCGCGGGAUCGAGAACCCACGAGAUCCAGCGAAACUGCUGCAAAGAAAUGAACUUCAUGGGAUUGAGUACCCGCGAGAACCCUCAAACUUUUCAAGAUUUCUACGUACCUAAUAAGUGAACUUCAUGGAAUUGAAGACCCGCGAUAACUAGCAAAAUUGACAUGAAAAAAAGGACUUCACAGGAUUGAGAACCAACAAGAUCCCACGAACUUUUCAAGGAGAAAAAUAAAGAUAAAAAGAAAUAAAAUAAUGACAAACUGAACAUGCACAUAACCUCAAUUCUCAAUUCAUGCAAAAUACAAUCAAUAAAAUUUAAGUAGUCAUGAGUAAGUGACCAUCAAUAUGAUCCAAGUAAAGCAUAAACGUAAGUCAAGAUACCCAGUAUUAAUAAGACCCAUACUAGCUAUCAUGAAACCAAGAUACAUGAUUGUCAAUUAGAUCAAUGCGAAUACAGACCCUAGAGCAAGAUCUCGAUAGAAUUCAUAAUGAAGAUCUCAUCUUGACCACUAAAGCACUAAAAGUCAAACCUUCAUGCUAUCCCAAUUUUUUAUUUAUUUAUUUAAAGUUCCAACGCUAUUUCUCCAAAUGUCCAACAUUAAAUAUUAGUAGCCAUAUAAGGAUGGUAACUUUCACACACAUGAGUAUGUAACCAUCUCCGUUUAUCACAUAACAAGAUUAGCUUCUCUCAAACUCAUAAGUAGCCUUUUUCACCCAAUUAAGAUCAACUUUUUCUUUCAAGAAAGGGUAUGCAAGUCCUUUGGUCAUUAUACACAUUCGUGAAGAGAUCAUCCAUAUUCGAAGAGAUCUCAUGCAAAGAGCAUCAACCCAACAUCAAGAAAGAUCUUGACUAGUAUCAUCAAUGUCACUUGAAUUACCAUUACACAUUUAAAAAUGCAUACUAGAUUCAAUUCAGACCAUACUCAAACAACUACCAUUUCAUGGAAAGUGCUUUUGCAAGAAAGAGAGAGGUAGAACAUGCAUAAAUUUAGACCCAACAGAAGACGUACACACUCACACACACAUCAUAAUACUUGGCUCGAGAGAAGAUGAGACACUAAGAACCACUCAAGGCCCAACCCCAACUUAAUAGACUACUCGAGAGAGCACACUCCUACGGAUUUCCGCAGAAACUCAAACCUAAGAGUGUCAAGGGAUUUUGUGAAGAGAUCAGCAAAUUGAUUUUCAGUGGAGAUAUGCUCUAGAGAAACAAGUUUCUCUUCGACUUGAUCACAAAUAAAGUGAUACCGAAUGUCAAUAUGUUUAGUGCGUGAAUGUUGAACUGAAUUCUUAGGUAUACUAAUUGAGUUCAUGUUAUCACAGAAUAGAAUCAUGACAUUCUGCUUUAACCCAUAGUCACUCAACAUUUAUUUCAUCCACAAGAGUUGAGUGCAACAAUUUCCAGUAGCUAUAUACUCUGCCUCAGCAGUGGACGAGGAAAUGAAAUUUUGCUUUUUACUAUGCCAAGCUGAAAGGUUAUUGCCUACAUAAAAACACCCUCUAGAGGUGCUCUUACAAUCAUCAGAAGAGGUAUAGCACAAGUAAUUUAUCUCAUUUCUUACCUGACGCCUUGUCUUCAUUGGUCCGUGAUAUCUCCAAUCACUUGGUCCAAUGGAUGGUUCAGCCUUACUUUAGCUGAUGGUUUAAGGUUGAUUUUAACAUCAUCUUCAAUUUUGUCCAUCCAAGUCAUUGCUUCAUAUCUUCUUUCAUUUUUCUCCUUCUCCACGUUCUUAGAGGCUCCACUAUCUGAAUCACAAUUCUCAUAAAGUGUAUCAUCAGAGUGAACUAAAGCAUCAUCAAUUACAACAUUUAUUGAUUCCAUAAUCGUAAGAGUAUGCAAGUUAUAUGCACGAUCAGAUUUAGUAUUAAUAGAAUACCUAAGAAAUACUCCUUCAUCGCUUCGGGUAUCAAAUUUUCCCAAACGUUCUCUAUCCCUUAGGAUAUAGUAUUUGCUCCCAAAUACUCGGAAGUAUUUCACAUUGGGUUUCUUAUCUUUCCACAGCUCAUAGGGUGUCUGCUUGGUACCAACUCUUAGAUAGACUCAAUUUCCAAUGUAAUAUGCAGUAUUUAUUGCCUCAGCCCAAAAUAUUUGUAGAAUAUUUUUCCCUUGAAGCAUUUGGCAGGCCAUUUCCUAGAUCACUCAAUUCUUCAUUUCCACCACACCAUUCUGUUGUGGUGUCUUUGGGGUAGAGAAUUCAUGUUUAAUAUCUUAUUCAUCACAAAAGUUAGCAAAUUUAGAAUUUCAAAUUUCUUACCAUGAUCUUUGCGAAUUCUGCGAAUACAACCAAUUUUUGAGCUCUUCUCUACCUGAACUUUCAAACAUAAGGCUUGAAACACAAAAAAAGGUAUUAUAUUUCUCAUGAAUAAAAUUAACCCAAGUAAAUCUAGAGAAAUUAUCCACAGACACAAAAAUAUAUUUCUUUCCUCCAAUAUUUUCUAUUUGAGUGGGGCCAAUUAGAUCCGUAUGAAUGAGUUCAAGUAAUUUAGUGGUUGUAAUCUGCUUAACUUUUUUGUGUGUGGACUUAAUUUGAUUUCCCAAUUGACAUGGUCCACAAACACAACUUGUGAUUUUUUUAAGUUUUGGAAUCACACGGAUAAGUUCUGAGCUGGAAAGUCUAGAAAGAUCAUGAAAGUUAACAUGAUCCACUUCAACUUGUGAUCAUGAAAGUUACUUCUUGAAAGUCAGACUACACUUUAUAAACCCGCUUCAAGUUUUAAAAAAUUUUCUAUAAGAACCCUCUUGAAACCAUCUCUAUCAAACGCAUCGUUCUCGAGAAAUCUCACUUUAUCAUUGAAGGUAAUUUGAUGAUUUUUUAACUGAUUGAUUUCAGCUUGAGCAUAUUCAUUCAUUUUUUUUAAAGAUUCAACUUCUUCUUGAGCCUUUAUCAACCUCUUAUUUAAUUUGACAUUUGCAUUGAAAAGCUUGUAUUAUUGCUUGUAUAGUUGAGCAAAAGCUCGUUGCAAUUCACUUUUGUCUUCUUCAUCUGAUUCUUCCUCAAGCGACCCAAUUGUACCAUCUGAUUUAUUUGAAUUUUUAAUUUUUGAUGCCUGUGAUGAAGUUUCUAACUCAUUAUCAUUGUUUGAUUCCUCUUCCUUCUCGGAAUCACUCCAGGUCACAGUCAAAAACCUUCUUCAUUUGAUUUUCUUUUUGUCUGGGCAGUUCGUAGCAAUAUGUGUAAAGCCAUGAGAUUCAAAAUAUUAUUUUUGACUAAACUUUUUAGAAGACUUCCUUACAAAUUUUAUUUUUUCAAAAGGUUUUCCUUUAGCCUUUUCAACUGAGGUAGAUUGAUCUUGUUGUCGUUUAUUAAAGAAUCUUUUAAAUUUUUUGACAAACAAGGCCAUCUCCUCAAUACCCAUCUCUGAGCCAUUAUCCUCUGCCUCAUUAAAUCUUUCCUUAGUGGAGCUUAAAGCAAUUCUUUUAUUUUUCUUAGGUUGGCAAAGAUUUGCUUUAAAAGUUUUUAAGUAUUCCACUAAGUCCUCAACUUUCAGGGCAUCAAUAUCCCUACUUUCCUCUAUUCCUAUGACCUUGGCUUGUAAUCUUU
rnacentral:lncRNA from 1 species